UUUUAGUACUCAGACUGAAAGAGCCCUGGAGCAGGGAGACUCUCACUCAAGUCUCGGGAUGACUCGACCCCCCAAGAACUCACAUAAGACC
rnacentral:pre_miRNA from 14 species